ACGGAGGGUGCAAGCGUUAUCCGGAUUCACUGGGUUUAAAGGGUGCGUAGGAGGGCAGGUAAGUCAGUGGUGAAAUCUUUGGGCUUAACCCGAAAACUGCCAUUGAUACUAUCUGUCUUGAAUGCGGUGGAGGUGAGCGGAAUAUGUCAUGUAGCGGUGAAAUGCUUAGAUAUGACAUAGAACACCGAUUGCGAAGGCAGCUCGCUACACCUGCAUUGACUCUGAGGCACGAAAGCGUGGGGAUCAAACAGGA
rnacentral:rRNA from 1 species